GACGAACGCUGGCGGCGUGCUUAACACAUGCAAGUCGAGCGAUGAAGUUCCCUUCGGGGAACGGAUUAGCGGCGGACGGGUGAGUAACACGUGGGUAACCUGCCUCAAAGAGGGGGAUAGCCUCCCGAAAGGGAGAUUAAUACCGCAUAAUAUCUUUUUAAUGCAUGUUAGAAAGAUUAAAGGAGCAAUCCGCUUUGAGAUGGACCCGCGGCGCAUUAGCUAGUUGGUGAGGUAACGGCUCACCAAGGCGACGAUGCGUAGCCGACCUGAGAGGGUGAUCGGCCACAUUGGGACUGAGACACGGCCCAGACUCCUACGGGAGGCAGUAGUGGGGAAUAUUGCGCAAUGGGGGAAACCCUGACGCAGCAACGCCGCGUGAGUGAUGAAGGUCUUCGGAUCGUAAAGCUCUGUCUUCAGGGACGAUAAUGACGGUACCUGAGGAGGAAGCCACGGCUAACUACGUG
rnacentral:rRNA from 1 species